GAUGAACGCUGGCGGCGUGCCUAAUACAUGCAAGUCGAGCGAACAGACGAGGAGCUUGCUCCUCUGACGUUAGCGGCGGACGGGUGAGUAACACGUGGAUAACCUACCUAUAAGACUGGGAUAACUUCGGGAAACCGGAGCUAAUACCGGAUAAUAUAUUGAACCGCAUGGUUCAAUAGUGAAAGACGGUUUUGCUGUCACUUAUAGAUGGAUCCGCGCCGCAUUAGCUAGUUGGUAAGGUAACGGCUUACCAAGGCAACUAUGCGUAGCCGACCUGAGAGGGUGAUCGGCCACACUGGAACUGAGACACGGUCCAGACUCCUACGGUAGGCAGCAGUAGGGAAUCUUCCGCAAUGGGCGAAAGCCUGACGUAGCAACGUCGCGUGAUUGAUGAAGGUCUUCGGAUCGUAAAACUCUGUUAUUAGGGAAGAACAAAUGUGUAAGUAACUAUGCACGUCUUGACGGUACCUAAUCAGAAAGCCACGGCUAACUACGUG
rnacentral:rRNA from 1 species